rnacentral:rRNA from 1 species
GACGAACGCUGGCGGCGUGCUUAACACAUGCAAGUCGAACGGUAAGGCCCUUCGGGGUACACGAGUGGCGGACGGGUGAGUCACACGUGGGUGAUCUACCCUGCACUUCGGGAUAAGCCUGGGAAACUGGGUCUAAUACCGGUGAGGACCCCUGCCUGCAUUGGUGGUUGGGGAAAGCUAUUGCGGUUUGGGAUGGGCCCGCGGCCUAUAAGCUUGUUGGUGGGGUGAUGGCCUACCAAGGAGACGACGGGUAGGCGGCCUGAGAGGGUGACCGGCCACACUGGGACUGAGAUACGGCCCAGACUCCUACGGGAGGCAGCAGUGGGGAAUAUUGCACAAUGGGCGCAAGCCUGAUGCAGCGACGCCGCGUGAGGGAUGACGGCCUUCAGGUUGUAAACCUCUUUCAGCACCGACGAAGCGCAAGUGACGGUAGGUGCAGAAGAAGGACCGGCCAACUACGUGCCAGCAGCCGCGGUAA